UACAGAGGGUGCAAGCGUUAUCCGGAUUCACUGGGUUUAAAGGGUGCGUAGGCGGGCAGAUAAGUCAGUGGUGAAAUCUCUGGGCUUAACCCAGAAACUGCCGUUGAUACUAUUUGUCUUGAAUAUCAUGGAGGUAAGCGGAAUAUGUCAUGUAGCGGUGAAAUGCUUAGAUAUGACAUAGAACACCGAUAGCGAAGGCAGCUUACUACAUGUUCAUUGACGCUGAGGCACGAAAGCGUGGGGAGCAAACAGG
rnacentral:rRNA from 1 species